rnacentral:lncRNA from 1 species
GGGCAGGGGCAGAGGCAGAGCACUCACGAACUGUGGCCCCCCCAGGCUGUGAGAGAAGUGGGACCCAGGGGAGGAGCAGAAGUCAUUCUUGACACAAACAAGGGGCCUGGGGCACGCCACCCCACCCCAGUGCCUGGCCAUGCAAGACGCAGAAAUGGAGACUGUGGCCCAUCAGGACCACGGAGGAGAUGCACCGACCUAGUGGGGAGUCCCCUGGGGGCCACCCCCCGACCCCCCGCAGGCGCCUGCAGGGUCUGGAGCCCAGGAGGGUCUGUGUCUGAGCCGGGGCACCAGCUGCCUCCGGAGGGCCAGGGGCACCACACUGAGGGGCUGAAGGUGGGAGGGGCAGGCUGGGGGUCCGGGGGGUGGGGGGGAACCUCCCUCCCGCCCAUUGGUGCCCCAGCACCGAGAACCUUCCAGAAGCACACUCCCGGGGCAUUUUGUAGUCAACCCAUUCCCCGCCCCGUGACCCCACGAGUGGGCCCCCUGUUGCUUCUGAUUUAUGUGUGGUGGGUCAGGGGCAGAGAGACCAGGCCACAGCGGUCUCUCCAGUUCCAGAGGUAGGCAGCGCGUGUGUGGGGGGUGGACACUCCGCUGGGGGCCCGGCCCUGGUCCCCCGCCCGCCCCUCUAAACCAUCUCAGCUGUGUCUCCCCUUCCUCAGCUAUCCAGUCGGGAAACUCCGACCCCCACCUACCUCAGAGGGACAGGCUAAGGGUGAAAGUCGAUAACGGAUAGAAAAACGUGUUUAAAAAAAAAAAAGUAUAAAGCGCUAUUCAAACGCGAGGCAGUGUUGUCAUCACGGAGAUCCACCCCUUAGCACGUCCCUCCUCUUUCACCUGGACACCUCGGCUUCCUGUUUUAGGGUCGCUUUAACCCUUAGGACCCUAUUUCUUGAUCUCGGCAGGGGGCCGAGACCCCCAGGGUGGCUUUCCCUGACCACGAUCUGAGACCCCAGAGCCCCAGAGGCCGAAUGGGCAGGCUAGGUGCCCGAGGGGUGGUGGGGGUGUGUGCUGGCCUCCUCGCUGUCCUGCCAGGACCUUCCCUGCGGGAGGAAGCCCCUCGGUCCACCCCGUGAGAAGAGCUGGGCUGCCCCUUCAGCCGGACAGGUCUAGGGGACCCCUGCCCC